UUAUAUUGUUAUUGUGAGAUUUUUCUGAACUUUCUUAUUCAGAAUUAAAUAUUGAUUGUUAACAUGCUAUGUUCAUUAAUCUAUGCAUUUUUUCCAUUAGUAUCGGGUUCGAUACUAAUAAGUUCAGUGAUGUCAUUAGUUUGUUUCCUGUCCAACCAGCAGUUGAGGGUUGGAAUUAAAAUUGGGGGAGAUGGAGAGUCAGAAUCUCAUCAACAACAUAAUAAUAAUAAUGAUGAUAAUAUUAAUAAAGAAGUUAUAGAUUUCACCGAAUUUAGACAUAUCAUUUUUGAUGUCUGUUUGAUUGCUAUAUUCAUUCUGCAACAUUCAUUGAUGGCAUGUAGUUUCUUCAAAAAUGGAAUCAGCAAGUGUGGUUUAAAACCUGUUGAAAGAUGCAUUUAUGUGGUAUUUACUGGUUUAACAUUAAUGACAAUGAUAUACUUUUGGCAGCCUGUGUAUAGUUUGUCAGCCUGGUUAAUUGAUACCAAUGAAAGCUGGAUUUUAUGGUUCUUCUUUAAUCUUGUUCAUUGUUUUGCCUGGCUGAUUAUUUUCUUAGAAGUUUUGAUUAUGGAACCCAUGGAACUGAUUGGUUGGAAACAGGUGUAUUACAGUUUAAAGGGUUACAAUAGUCCAAUAUCUUACAAAUCAAAGGGUAUGCAGAAAUUAUAUAGGCAUAUGAGACAUCCUGGAGCUACUUGUUUUUUCCUCAUUCUCUGGUUGCACCCUUUAAUGAGCGUAGA